UGGGGAACAUUGGACAAUGGGCGAAAGCCUGAUCCAGCCAUGCCGCGUGUGUGAAGAAGGUCUUCGGAUUGUAAAGCACUUUAAGUUGGGAGGAAGGGCAUUAACCUAAUACGUUAGUGUUUUGACGUUACCGACAGAAUAAGCACCGGCUAACUCUGUGCCAGCAGCCGCGGUAAUACAGAGGGUGCAAGCGUUAAUCGGAAUUACUGGGCGUAAAGCGCGCGUAGGUGGUUUGUUAAGUUGGAUGUGAAAUCCCCGGGCUCAACCUGGGAACUGCAUUCAAAACUGACUGACUAGAGUAUGGUAGAGGGUGGUGGAAUUUCCUGUGUAGCGGUGAAAUGCGUAGAUAUAGGAAGGAACACCAGUGGCGAAGGCGACCACCUGGACUAAUACUGACACUGAGGUGCGAAAGCGUGGGGAGCAAACA
rnacentral:rRNA from 1 species